rnacentral:tRNA from 1 species
GGACGGCAAGUUUUGCGGAAGAAACACUGUAACGGAACCAACAUUACCGCGUGGUAAUAAAGGCAGAGGAGGCUGCCGAAGGAGUGCGGACUGAGACAGAGAGGCGGGUUCGAAUCCCGCGUCGUCCA